UGGGAGAUAGCUCAGCAGGUAGAGCACAGGACUUGGAAUCAUCAGGUCCCAGGGUUUGAUCCCUGGCCCCCAC
rnacentral:tRNA from 1 species